rnacentral:rRNA from 1 species
AACGAACGCUGGCGGCAGGCUUAACACAUGCAAGUCGAACGCAUCCUUCGGGGUGAGUGGCAGACGGGUGAGUAACACGUGGGAACGUACCUUUCGGUUCGGGAUAACCCAGGGAAACUUGGGCUAAUACCGGAUACGUCCUUUGGGAGAAAGAUUCAUUGCCGAGAGAUCGGCCCGCGUCUGAUUAGCUAGUUGGUGGGGUAAUGGCCCACCAAGGCGACGAUCCUUAGCUGGUCUGAGAGGAUGAUCAGCCACACUGGGACUGAGACACGGCCCAGACUCCUACGGGAGGCAGCAGUGGGGAAUAUUGGACAAUGGGCGAAAGCCUGAUCCAGCAAUGCCGCGUGAGUGAUGAAGGCCUUAGGGUUGUAAAGCUCUUUUACCCGGGAUGAUAAUGACAGUACCGGGAGAAUAAGCUCCGGCUAACUCCGUGCCAGCCGCCGCCGUAAG